rnacentral:sRNA from 1 species
AUCGAUUGCCCUUCCUGGGCGUUUCCUCCCUGUAGACUUUAGCCGCGCUCGUGUAGCGCGGCUUUUUUUUAGCCGAAA